UACAGAGGUGCCGAGCGUUAGGCGGAAUCACUGGGCUUAAAGCGUGUGUAGGCGGACUUCUAAGUACCUUGUGAAAUCCCACGGCUCACCCGUGGAACUGCUGGGUAUACUGGUCGUCUUGAGCCACCUAGGGGCGAGCGGAACAAAUGGUGGAGCGGUGAAAUGCGUAGAUAUCAUUUGGAACGCCAACGGUGAAAACAGCUCGCUGGGGGGUGUGCUGACGCUGAGACACGAAAGCCAGGGUAGCGAACGGG
rnacentral:rRNA from 1 species